UUUGCCUUAUCUCUUCCGGUGAAACACAAAAAACUACAUAUGCCCUCACAGCCUCCUUUCAUUCAUUUACUCAACUUAAAUAGACAUUACAAGAAUAUCUCCGCUGCCAACUAAUUCUAAAUUCACGCCACGUCCACCAUGCACAGUCAGUCCAGUAACUAACUAAUGCAUGAGCUAACUCUACGGCCGUUUCUUCCGGCCACUAACCAACCCCACAACUAACAUUAGAAGUUUUGCAUAUGUUCACACGUGAACAUGCCUAUACGUGUGUACCCAGCCGCAACUUCUAGUGUAAGACCGAACUCUAAAAUAAACAUGAUCUAAUCAACUACUUUAUGCACUAAUCACAAGAUUUGUUUCAACAGCCGCAAGACUUGUAUCGUACGGGAUUUUAUUAUAGCGUGAACAUGAUUGCUCGACCAUGGCAUGUGAAUCCUGGGCUGCGGCACCGCUCGAUCUGCUUGACUCGGAAAGGCUCGAUGGAAAAUAAUAUCUGCAC
rnacentral:lncRNA from 1 species